rnacentral:rRNA from 1 species
GACGUAGGGCGCGAGCGUUGUCCGGAUUUAUUGGGCGUAAAGAGCUCGUAGGCGGCUCGUCACGUCGGUUGUGAAAACCCGCAGCUUAACUGUGGGCGUGCAGCCGAUACGGGUGGGCUAGAGUUCGGUAGGGGAGACUGGAAUUCCUGGUGUAGCGGUGAAAUGCGCAGAUAUCAGGAGGAACACCGGUGGCGAAGGCGGGUCUCUGGGCCGAUACUGACGCUGAGGAGCGAAAGCGUGGGGAGCGAACAGG